GACGGAGGAUGCAAGUGUUAUCCGGAAUUACUGGGCGUAAAGCGUGCGCAGGCGGUUUUGUAAGUCUGUCGUGAAAUCCCCGGGCUCAACCUGGGAAUGGCGAUGGAGACUGCAAGGCUAGAAUCUGGCAGAGGGGGGUAGAAUUCCACGUGUAGCAGUGAAAUGCGUAGAGAUGUGGAGGAACACCGAUGGCGAAGGCAGCCCCCUGGGUCAAGAUUGACGCUCAUGCACGAAAGCGUGGGGAGCAAACAGG
rnacentral:rRNA from 1 species